rnacentral:lncRNA from 1 species
UGAGAAUAGCAAUAAUUAUUCCACACAAAGACUGGACUCUGUUUCAAUAAUAGAAGGUACUUCAGUGUGGCUGGAUAAAAAGGGGAACAGUGGAAAGUAAAGGUGAAAAAUGAAGCUGGGGUCAGGACUUCAUUAAAUAAGUAGAGUUAACAAUUGAGUACUGGAGGGAUAAACAAUCUGUGUUAUCUAUGCUCAUUUCUCCAUUCUCUUUAACCCCUGUUAAGCUUUGCUAACAUUACUGCCAAAUUUCAUUCCCUAAUGUUGAUAAUUUCCUCCAAGCAGCAUAGCAGAGCCUGGGUUCCAGGAAUAUGGUCACCACCUACUGCUUUCUUCCCUGCUCAUUUGCUGCCACAAAGGUUUUCAAAGGUAAAAGUGUCAGAGGAUACAGAAGGAUUGACCUGUUUUGAAG